ACCAAAAGUUUGAAUAAAAAAUAGUUUUCAGGAGAAUAUGAAACAGUGCCGUUUAGAGCAAGAGGAUCCUCGCGUUGACCCAUUUCAUGGCCCGGAUCCGCGCCUCUUUAACUUAAAUGGACAUGUCUCAGAGGACGGUGUAGUAACAUCGGUGAAGUUAGAUCUUAUCUCCCUGAAGUUGCAGUAGAAUAGAUCGAAGAUUACAAACCUUAUCUCCCUAAAGUUACAGUGGAGCAG